rnacentral:rRNA from 1 species
CCGGUUCCAGGAAAUAGCUCCACCAAUAUUGACCGUACCCGAAACCGACACAGGUGGACUGGUAGAGUAUACCAAGGCGCUUGAGAGAACUAUACUGAAGGAACUCGGCAAAUUGCACGCGUAACUUCGGAAGAAGCGUGACCCUUUUGCGGGCAACCGCGGGAGGGUGGCACAGACCAGGGGGUAGCGACUGUUUAUCAAAAACACAGG